AAAACCUAGGAGCAAAUGAGGUAAUAAGGGUUGACAACCACAAUACCUAUCUCUUUCUUCCCCUGUAAAUGAGCAAUUGGGCUGCAAACAGACUGUGCUUAAACUACAUUAUCUUAGAUAUGUGUUCCAGGUCAGUGGCUCUCAAACUACCUGUGGUAAAAGACCAGUAUCUUCCCCUGCCAAUCCAUCACAGACUUACCAUUUUUAAAAAAUACAAUCAAAACAAAAUUAAAAAGACAUAUGUUGGGAACAUAAAAUUACUCUGUCAAAUUGCUACAAAAGGUUUUAAAUGUUAAGUCUUCAUAUCUGUACUCACAUCACAGAACUGUAAUAAAAAGUUCACAUACUGGCAGUGUUUUGCAGAGAGCACUCAGAACUCAUCUAGGGCACUAACAGUUACAUUCCUGUCCAUGCUCCUCUUUUCAAGGGUAGGACCACCUGUCCCAAACUAAGCCCAUCAUGAUCUUUUGUCCAGUAAUAUAAACAAGAAUUUAUAUUUUCAGUUUAUAUAGGUUUACUCAAAAUGAGGACAGUAUGCCAGGCAGUGACACGUGCCUGUAGCCCGAGCUACUCAGAAGGCUGAGGCAGGUGGGUCACUUGAGCCCAGGAGUUCUGGGCUAUAGUGUGCUAUGCUGAUUCGGUGUCUGCACUAAAUUCAGCAUCAAUAUAGUAACCUCCCAGGAGCUGGGGACCAGCAGGUUGCCUAAAGAGGGGUGAACCAGCCCAGGUUGGAAAUGGAGCAGGUCAAAGUUCCUGGGCUGAUCGGUAGUGGGUUCAUGCCUGUGAAGAGCCACUGCACUCUAGCUUGGGCAACACAGUGAGACCCCAUCUCUAAAAUAAUUUUUUUUUAUGAGGACAGAAAACUUGUUAGUUAUGGGACAACCAUUUUGGCCAUGUGCACACCAAAACAAGGAAAGCUGGUCUUCACAGAGUCAAAAGUCAAACAAAUGCAGAGAGAAGAAAGGAAUGAAAAACAUGGCUGUAAGCCCCAGCUGCACUUGAUUUCCAUCUAAGCACUCUUCCCUCAGGUUCUGUGACUACCCCACUGCAAACUUGGCCUCUGACCUGUGGCAAGAUGACUUUCUUCAGCUGCUCCUGAGUGAAGUGCUCCACAUAGGCCUCAAUGUGAGACAGCAGCACCAUCCGCACAUGCUCUUCAUGAACUUCAAACAACUGGAGAAGCACGGGGAUCACCCGUGACUGGAACAGGGCUGGUGAGACAUGCCUUUCACCUUCUGCCAUGAUUUUAAGGCCUCCCCAGCCACGUGGAAAUGUAAGUCCAAUAAACCUCUUUCUUUUGUAAAUUGCCCAGUCUUGGGUAUGUCUUCAUCAGCAGUGUGAAAACAGACUAAUACAGUAAAUUGGUACCAGUAGAGUGGGGCGUUGCUGAAAAGAUACCCAAAAAUGUGGAAGAGACUUUGGAACUGGGUAACUGGCAAAGGCUGGAACAGUUUGGAGGGUUCAGAAGAAGACAGGAAAAUGUGGGAAAGUUUGGAAUUUCCUAGAGACUUGUUGAAUGGCUUUGACAAAAAUGCUGCUAGUGAUAUGAACAAUAAGGUCCAGGCUGAGGUGGUCUCAGAUGGAGAUGAGGAACUUGUUGGGAACUGGGGCAAAGGUGACUCUUGUUAUGUUUUAGCAGAGACUGGUGGCACUUUGCCCCUGCCCUAAAGAACUGUGGAACUUUGAAUUUAAGAGAUGAUUUAGGGUAUCUGGUGGAAGAAAUUUCUAAGCAGCAGAGCAUUCAAGAGGUGACUUGGGUGCUGUUAAAGGUAUUCAGUUUUAAAAGGAAAACACAGCAUAAAAGCUUGGGAAGUUUGCAGCCUGACAAUGCAAUAGAAAAGAAAAUCUCCGGUGAAAUUCAAGCCAGCUGCAGAAGUUUGCAAAAGUAAUGAGGGGCCA